rnacentral:rRNA from 1 species
GAUGAACGCUGGCGGCGUGCCUAAUACAUGCAAGUCGAGCGAACGGACGAGAAGCUUGCUUCUCUGAUGUUAGCGGCGGACGGGUGAGUAACACGUGGAUAACCUACCUAUAAGACUGGGAUAACUUCGGGAAACCGGAGCUAAUACCGGAUAAUAUUUUGAACCGCAUGGUUCAAAAGUGAAAGACGGUCUUGCUGUCACUUCUAGAUGGAUCCGCGCCGCAUUAGCUAGUUGGUAAGGUAACGGCGUACCAAGGCAAGGAUGCGUAGCCGACGUGAGAGGGUGAUCGGCCACACUGGAACUGAGACACGGUCCAGACUCCUACGGGAGGCAGCAGUAGGGAAUCGUCGGCAAUGGGCGAAAGCCUGACGGAGCAACGCCGCGUGAGUGAUGAAGGUCUUCGGAUCGUAAAACCCUGUUAUUAGGGAAGAACAUAUGUGUAAGUAACUGUGCACAUCUUGACGGUACCUAAUCAGAAAGCCACGGCUAACUACGUG